rnacentral:rRNA from 1 species
CGUGUAGGCGGCUUGGUAAGUCAGAUGUGAAAGCCCUGGGCUCAACCCAGGAAGUGCAUUUGAAACUACCAGACUUGAGUACGGGAGAGGAGGGGGGAAUUCCCGGUGUAGAGGUGAAAUUCGUAGAUAUCGGGAGGAAUACCGGUGGCGAAGGCGCCCCUCUGGACCGAUACUGACGCUGAGACGCGAAAGCGUGGGGAGCAAAACA